GUGCUAGUGAUGCAUCUAGUCUACUUUCAUCCACUAGGCUCGUAUACUGACUGAUGCCGCUGGUCCAAACAACGUUCUGCCGCGCCAGCUAGCGCACGGUUUACCAGAUAUAGCCUUUUAGAAAGUUCCUCAACGCGAUUCAAGGGUUGACUUUUGGAAAAGUGUUGUUAAUAUCUCGAUAUGCUGGCACCGUUCCGACCUGUCACCAAGGAGAGAUGCUACGAAAUACGAACGUAUUCCCUGUUGCUGCCACAGGAGCGGAAACAGUGCAGCGGAUAUGGGGUCUUCUAAAUAAUUAAGAAAAGAGGAGCGCUUUCUUUACUGCAGACUGGCACGUCAAGUAACGGUUCGGUAGAAACUAACGGAGUUUAUCCACCAAUGCUAUGAAAUCUAACAGAUGACAUAUCGCAACCUCGGAUCGAGAACCAGAUUUUACGGCGGACAUUUGACAGACGGGAGACUGGAAGGGAGCGGAAGCGAGCGACACAGUGCCGCCGGGAAAGAGCGCUGGAACACGGCUGGGAGUCCACAGACCGUCGGUGGAGCACGGCCCAUGCGGAUCUGUCGUCCAUGAUCAGACGUCGGGAAAUAAACAUGUAGCUAGCUACUGCUACUUGGUUAUACUACAUAACAUUCACCGUAAAAAAGUACACGGGAAAGCGGGCUUGCGGUGUCGAUUACGGUACGGUGUUCCAAGUUAUUUUGACGGUGUCCAACCUCCCUUCUUCACCUCCACCACCACCUCAGGCCUGCAGUCUCCCUCUCUCCCCCCUCUCACCCCUUUCUGUUCCACCUGGAAGAAGACAAGACAUUGGUCUGGAGAGUUGGCCAACCUCUACAUCCUACCCCAGACCACCCUAGUUCCAACCAGACUACAAUCCAACAUCCUUCCUCUCCACCCCUCCCCAAACAGACGAGGGGGAGAGAGGAGCUUCGCCCCCCCUCAUCCCCUCCCUCCCUCUCUCUCCCCCCUCCCAACAUGCAGCCUCAGGGCCUGUAUGUAAGAGCCAUGGUACAGCCCAUCCCUAGAUUGAAAUCUUGAACCACUCCAGUUGUACUCCACUGUGUGUUGAAGUGAAGCUAAAUGUUCUGAUGUGAGUGAAACUGGGCUGGACCAGCGCUGACCAGACAGCGCAACCAAUAGGAAGACUGGAUCACAGGCCUCAAAUUCCACAAUCACUCAAUCAAACUUUAUUCAUAAAAGCCUUUUUACAACAACAUUUCUCACAAAGUGCUUUACAGUAGUCACCUUAGUAAACCUAUUUUUGACUUCCAAAGAGCAGGCAAGGGAAUGGCAAGGGAAAACCUCCUUACAAGUGCAGAUGUGUUAGCUAACCUCUGACCUGUGUCUGGGCUUGGCUGCUUGUUGGAUCCAGACUGUAGUAUUGAAUCUAGAGGCUUCUACUGACCGUAGCUAGCGCGUCAGCUUCUAGAAUGUUCUAUUAGGUUCUAGUACGUUCUAAUAGGUUCUAAUAUGUUCUGUUAGGUUCUAGUAUGUUCUGUUAGGUUCUAGUACAUUCUAUUAGGUUCUAGUACAUUCUAUUAGGUUCUAGUAUGUUCUAUUAGGUUCUAGUGUGUUCUAUUAGGUUCUAGUAGGCUCUACCAGGCUGUCUCUGGCCCUGUGCUGUGGCCACCUGGCCUGUGGCCCUCCUCUCUGGCUCCAGCUUUGGGCGAGGCCCACGGUUCUCCCCCCUCCCCUGCUCAACCUCCACCAUUCGCCCCUCCCUCGCCACGGCUGUCCUCCCCCCCCGCCCCCGCCCCCACCCUUCCUCCCCCUCCCAUCACCACCACUCCCCCCAUCAUCACCAUCACCCCCACCCCUCUCACCCCCAGUCCCCUCCUC
ensembl:lncRNA